rnacentral:pre_miRNA from 1 species
ACAUUUUGUUUUCCUUCUUGUCGACUUCUUAAAGACUAAAACCCCAAAACCGAAGCUCCAAAAUUAGCCCAUCUAUUGUAACCCUAAGUCCCAAAUCGUGAUAUGUAUUUAUUAAUACUUCUAAUAUAUCACAAUUUGGGACUUAGGGCUACAACAGAAGAGUUGGUUUUGGGGCUUGGGUUUUGUGGGCUUAGGCUUUAAGAAGCCCAAAAGGAGGAAAACAAAAUGU